rnacentral:tRNA from 1 species
GAUCCCAUAGCUCAGCUGGAUAGAGCAACUGCCUUCUAAGCAGUAGGUCAGUGGUUCGAAUCCACUUGGGAUCA